rnacentral:sRNA from 1 species
CUCACCGGCUUCUCUGGAACACAAUAUUCACACGAAUACACAGUUAUUGAUCCGACGAGGAAGGAAUUCUCAUUGACAACCAGAAAUGUCAGUUUUUGAGCUGAAAAUGUGCAUUUUUCGGCGAUUUUAUAGUUGAAAACGGCGAAAAAUGUCGAUUUAUUGAUGAAAAACAGCUCAAAAAUGGCCAAAAAAUUUGGUUUUCCGAUUUUCAGAGAAAAUUUUACUGAAAAAUAAACGAAUUUUCCAAUUUUUACUGAAAAAAACCGGAAAAUGACCCGAAAAUAGUGAAAAAAAACCUUUUAAAAAAAAACCAGUUUUUCCAAUUUUCUGAGGAAUUUUUAUGCCAAAAACCCAAAAAUUCACAAAAAAAUUUAUUAACAAGCCAUUUCCCCCUGUUUCAGAGCAAUUUUCUUUGAAAAAAACCCAAAGAAGUACUCAAAAUAACUCAAAAAUCAGUUUUUUUUCCAAUUUUCAGAUCAAUUUUUAUUGAAAAAAACCCAUAAAAGUACUCAAAAUAACUCAAAAACCAAUUUUCAGAGCGAUUUUUCUGCGAAAAACUCAAAAAUUUACAAACAAAAUACCUAAAAAACCUGGUUUUUUCCCAUUUUUGAAGCAAUUUUUACUGAAAAAAACCCCAAAAUUACCCGAAAAUAAAUUAAAGCUUUUGCCUAUUUUCAAAUUAAUUAUUCUGCCUGAAACCAAACAGUUGACUACAAAAUUGCACCAAAAAAUUUUUUUUUUCAACGAUUUUUUCGUCUAAAAAUUGCUCAAAUGAGCUCAAUUUUUGAAUUUUUACCGAAAAAACAGAAAAACCCAGUUUUUUUUUCAAUUUUCAGAGGAAUUUUUAUGCCAAAAACUCAAAAAUUCACAAAAAAAAUACAAUUAGAGCAAUUUUUGCAGAAAAACCCUAAAAAAGUACUCACAAUAACUCAAAAACCAAUUUUUUCCAAUUUUCAGAGCAUUUUUUCGCCAAAAACUCAAAAAUUACCCGAAAAUAAUUUAAAAAACCAUUUUCCCCUGUUGCAGAGCACUUUUCUUUGAAAAAACCCAAAAAAGUACUCAAAAUAACUCAAAAACCAAUUUUUUCCGAUUUUCAGAUCAAUUUUUAAUGAAAAAAAAAAACGAAUUUUUCAAAUUUUUACUGAAAAAAACCGAAAAAUGACUGGAAAAUAGUGAAAAAAAACCUUUUUUUUUCAAUUUUUAGAGCAAUUUUCACUGAAAAAGCCCCAAAAAUUCACUCAAAAAUAAUGAAAAAACCAGUUUUUUCCGAUGAUCAGAUCAAUUUUUAAGCCAAAAACCCCAAAAAUUCACAAAAAAAUGCAAUUAGAGUAAUUUUUACUGAAAAAAACCCGAAAAUUUGCCAAUUUUCAGUUAAAUGGCUCAUCAUUCCUGCGUGUCGACGAAAAGCUGACAUAUACACCGGCUCAUGAGGAUCCAAAUAAAACAAUUCUUAAACAAGAUGUUAUAGUCACAAUUACACUUCCAGCAUUCGCCGAUUAUUGUGAAAAAACAUUUUUAAGCAUUUAUUCACAAAAUGCUAAUAAGG